AUUACACUUCAGAAGAUAUUCAUGUUAAAGAAUCCUACCGGAUAUCCAAAAUACAGGAAGUAUAUAUGGAUUAUCAUGAUGGAUUUUAGCUUGAAGUUUGAGGAUGAUAGGGAAUAUAAAUUAAAGAGGAAGUAGAUAUGGAUUAUCAUGAUGGAUCAUAGCUUGAAGUUGAAGAUGACAGAGAAUAUAAGUCAAAGAUCAUUGCUAUAUGGUAUUACACCGAGAGGGCGGCUGCCGGUGUCUGUCACAUAAUUGUUGUAGUGUUUCUGUUGUGUAAGAUGAUCUUAGUGUAUUUGAAGAGGCUCCAAAAGCAAAAGCUAGCAAGGAUUUAUAUGGGCG